CCAAAAAACACAACGCUGCAAAUGUUGCAAAGUGAGCGUGUGUGCCAAAAACAUAAGAGAGUUUAGAAAUAAAUGUUGGAUUUUAAGUUGUAAAUUAUCUCGAUUUUUCUUGCCGUUAAAAUAAAUAAAGAGUAUUUGUGGUGAGCAACAAAAGCCGUCAAAAUGCCACAAUCCACACCAGCUAGCCAGGAGUCACAGCGUCAAACAGAUACUCCUUCACCCAAUACUACAACCUCAACACCCCUGUCUACUCCAAACUCCUUGCAUUCUUCGAGCUUUCUACACGAUCAUUCUGUGUCGGCAACGGGAAAACAUAAAUCAGCAUUUCUACCAUAUCGCCCACAGACAACUGUCCUAACCAAUCUUCAACGGGGUAACACUGAGGCAACAUUCUGUCCCGUCGAAGUAAAACUAUCCUUUCAUGAACGAGCCGGCCAGGGUGAGGUUACCGAUGAACAAAUUCUGCAACAGAAAGCCGUAAAUAUUGACUUUAAAGAUAAUUUUGGAUUUACACCAUUACAUUGGGCUUGUUACUAUGGCCAAUUGGCAACGGUACAAUCCCUGAUUGAGGCUGGUGCCAAUAUUAACGAAGAAGCCCCCGAAAUGGUUACCCCCUUAAUACUGGCCGCCUCUGGAGGCCAUCAUGAAAUUGUCCGUUUACUUUUGGACAAGGGAGCGGACUCUUCACACAUGGACAUUGUGGGGAAUACCGCUCUAAUGUAUGCCGCUGCAGGCAAUCAUCCUCACACCUGCAAUGAGUUAUUGUCGCGCGAUCCUGAUAUGACAGCAACAAACGAAAAUGGUGAUACCGCCUAUGCCCUGGCCAUUGAGAAUGGCUCCACUUUGUCUCAGGCUGUGCUUGAGCAAUAUUUAACCGCUGUUUUGUCAUUAUGAAAUAUACUGUCAUUGGACAAGGCGGAGGAGGAUUUGAAAUGAUAGUUGGCAAACACAAAUUAAAGACUAUCACAAUUUCGGUGUGUAAUAUAUCUCCAGGAAAAUUCCCCGCUUUAAGAAGAAACUAUCAACAUAGCCUGCCUGCCUAGCAGCCCCAGCCCCCGCUCUCAACCUAGCACGUCGUAAUUGGAGAUAUUAGAUACUAGAUAUUCUACUACGCGUGAAUCUGCCUGACUGACGCUAUAGACAACAACAACUUCAAGAAAUGUUGUUGUUGGGUUGUAACUAAAAUCCAGUCAAGAAUCCAGAAAAACGUAGUAAAACCCAUUCGGCUCUCAACAAAAGGGGGGAGAAGAAUGAGAAGCUGGAAACAAGAAAUAAUGUUUUGUUGAGGCAUAAUAACAAAGCACGCAAAACCACAAUAAAAACAACAACAACAAUCCUUUUUUCUUGGAGAGACCACUCUGGAAAAAAAUAAAGACGAAGGAAAAGAAGUCUAUUUUGAAAAGAAUUACAACAAUCCCCUCAUCUCGGCAGUGGAGAACUUGGAAAUCUUAAAACAAGAAGCGUUUGAGAAAUCGGAAAUUGUUUUUAAAUCUACAAAUUUUCCUUUACCACACUCUACUCUCCUUAUUCUAUUUCCCCACUUCCAAGACCAACUACAAAACAUUUUCCAAAAUAGUCCGCAGCAUAUUAUCUCCUCCACCCAACUUUCUGGGCUGACAAAAACAGAUUCAAAUAUAACCAAGCGUUUCUUCAUAGAUUCUGAAAAAGCGACAGAGAGAGAGAGAGAGAGAGAGAACCUGGGAAGUGAGGAAGAAAAAUAUUGCAACCUCAAACCAAGUACCAUCUGCAGCCAAUUUCGAAAAGGAGCUAUUCGACCCAAGGGGAAACAACUCACCGAAGUAAUUCCUAUCAUCAACGUCGUCGUCCUUCUUCCUCCAGUAGUGUCUUAUAUUUUGUAGAAUAAAUAUCAAGGAAUCCCCAAGAGUAAAUAGCCAAAAAAUGAAAUAUAACAACAAAGAAAGAACGAAAGAAUGAUGUUCAAAGACCUCUGGACCUCCAAAAAAAAAAAAAAAAAAAAAAAAAAAAAAUCAGACAGCGUUCAAUGAUCUCUAUGGGGAUUUGAAAACUUGAUAAAACAGACAAGAAACACCGUUGAGCAAAUCUUAUCUGUAAAACUUAUUCUGCAAUAAUAUUUUUAACAACAAUAUAUUUUUCAUGGGCGUGACUAAACCACUCUCUUUUUUCUCCCAUCUGCAGGUGAGGUAAA